rnacentral:rRNA from 1 species
GAUGAACGCUGGCGGCGUGCCUAAUACAUGCAAGUCGAGCGAACGGACGAGAAGCUUGCUUCUCUGAUGUUAGCGGCGGACGGGUGAGUAACACGUGGAUAACCUACCUAUAAGACUGGGAUAACUUCGGGAAACCGGAGCUAAUACCGGAUAAUAUUUUGAACCGCAUGGUUCAAAAGUGAAAGACGGUCUUGCUGUCACUUAUAGAUGGAUCCGCGCUGCAUUAGCUAGUUGGUAAGGUAACGGCUUACCAAGGCAACGAUGCAUAGCCGACCUGAGAGGGUGAUCGGCCACACUGGAACUGAGACACGGUCCAGACUCCUACGGGAGGCAGCAGUAGGGAAUCUUCCGCAAUGGGCGAAAGCCUGACGGAGCAACGCCGCGUGAGUGAUGAAGGUCUUCGGAUCGUAAAACUCUGUUAUUAGGGAAGAACAUAUGUGUAAGUAACUGUGCACAUCUUGACGGUACCUAAUCAGAAAGCCACGGCUAACUACGUGCCAGCAGCCGCGGUAAUACGUAGGUGGCAAGCGUUAUCCGGAAUUAUUGGGCGUAAAGCGCGCGUAGGGCGGUUUUUUAAGUCUGAUGUGAAAGCCCACGGCUCAACCGUGGAGGGUCAUUGGAAACUGGAAAACUUGAGUGCAGAAGAGGAAAGUGGAAUUCCAUGUGUAGCGGUGAAAUGCGCAGAGAUAUGGAGGAACACCAGUGGCGAAGGCGACUUUCUGGUCUGUAACUGACGCUGAUGUGCGAAAGCGUGGGGAUCAAACAGGAUUAGAUACCCUGGUAGUCCACGCCGUAAACGAUGAGUGCUAAGUGUUAGGGGGUUUCCGCCCCUUAGUGCUGCAGCUAACGCAUUAAGCACUCCGCCUGGGGAGUACGACCGCAAGGUUGAAACUCAAAGGAAUUGACGGGGACCCGCACAAGCGGUGGAGCAUGUGGUUUAAUUCGAAGCAACGCGAAGAACCUUACCAAAUCUUGACAUCCUUUGACAACUCUAGAGAUAGAGCCUUCCCCUUCGGGGGACAAAGUGACAGGUGGUGCAUGGUUGUCGUCAGCUCGUGUCGUGAGAUGUUGGGUUAAGUCCCGCAACGAGCGCAACCCUUAAGCUUAGUUGCCAUCAUUAAGUUGGGCACUCUAAGUUGACUGCCGGUGACAAACCGGAGGAAGGUGGGGAUGACGUCAAAUCAUCAUGCCCCUUAUGAUUUGGGCUACACACGUGCUACAAUGGACAAUACAAAGGGCAGCGAAACCGCGAGGUCAAGCAAAUCCCAUAAAGUUGUUCUCAGUUCGGAUUGUAGUCUGCAACUCGACUACAUGAAGCUGGAAUCGCUUGUAAUCGUAGAUCAGCAUGCUACGGUGAAUACGUUCCCGGGUCU